rnacentral:rRNA from 1 species
AUGGCCUCCGCCGUCACCGUCGCCGGCGACGCCGAGUACUCCUUCGCGGCGGAGUACGACGGCCCGCCGCUCCCCUACUCCCUCCCGCGCGCCAUCCCGCUCGACCUCUCCCACAUCCCGCUCGCCGCCCUCUCCUCCUCCUCCUCGCCGCCGCCCACCGGCUCCUCGCCGCUCCCCGUCGUGCGGCCCCUCACCCCCUCCUCCCUCUGCUCCGCCAUCCACGCGCAGCAGCACGCGGCGGGGCCUCCUCGCUCCUCCGGGGGCCCCGCGGGGGGUGGUGGCGCCCAGGCGGUCGCCGACUCCCCGACCUCCGUCAUCGAGAACCACCACGCCGCCGCGCACCACUCCGCCGAGCUCCCCUCCUCCCCCUCUGACGCCGAUGACGACGACAAGGAGGAAGAGGAGGGGGCCGGGAUGCCGUCGGUUCCCCACCAGCCCACCGUCUCCUUCGCCGAGACCAGCUGCUCCCUCCUCGAAUCAUCCGAGGAGGAGGAGGAGGAGGACGACGACGAGGACGAAACCGCCGACGAGGCCCUGCCUGCCGCCGCUCGAUCCAGCGGCUCCCUCUCGCCGGCGCAUUUCGAGGCGGGGAACCACCCGACGGGAGCCAAGUCCCGGGGCUGCUACAGAUGCGGGAAGGGAGGCGGCUUCUGGGGCCGUGGGGACAAGGAGGCGUGCCUCGCCUGCGGCGCACGGUACUGCUCGGCUUGCGUGCUCCGGGCAAUGGGGUCCAUGCCGGAGGGCCGCAAGUGCUUGUCCUGCAUCGGGCGGCCCGUGGCCGAGUCGAGGCGGAAUGCCCUGGGCCGAGGCUCACGCGUGCUGCGGCGACUGAUCAGUGCGGCGGAGGUGGAGCUCGUCAUGAGAAGCGAGCGUGAAUGCGCAGCGAACCAGCUGCGCCCGGAGGACAUUUACGUUAAUGGGGCUAAGUUGUCACCGGAGGAGCUAGCUUUGCUGCAGGGAUGCGCGUGCCCUCCUUCCAGGCUCCGCCCUGGCUUCUAUUGGUACGACAAGGUAUCCGGCUUCUGGGGCAAGGAGGGACACAAACCCCAUUGCAUAAUAAGCGCAAAUCUAAAUGUUGGAGGUGCUUUAGUUCAAAAGGCGAGCAAUGGGAGCACCGGAAUCUUGGUAAAUGGCCGUGAGAUUACAAAAUCUGAGCUGCAAAUACUUAAGUUGGCAGGAGUUCAGUGUGCUGGGAAACCUCACUUUUGGUUGAAUGCUGAUGGGAGUUACCAAGAGGAAGGCCAAAAAACUGUUAAAGGAAAGAUUUGGGAUAAGCCUAUAGUGAAGCUGCUUAGUCCUGUCCUGUCAUUGCCAACUCCUAAUAAAAUGACUAAUCAAUGCGGCGAAGAGGCUAUUAAUGUAGUAAAUCGACCUGAAUACUUGGAGCAAAGGACGACCCAGAAACUUCUGUUAGUUGGAUCAGGGACAAGCACCAUACUCAAACAGGCUAAAUUCUCAUACAAGAGUAAACCAUUUUCGAUGGAUGAGUGUGAAGAUCUCAAACUUAUCAUACAAAGUAACAUAUAUCGCUACAUUGGUAUACUUCUUGAAGGCCGUGAACGGUUUGAAGAGGAAGUUUUAGCUGAUAGAAGAAAACUCUGCCAACACGAUCCUUCUAGCUCUGGGCGUCCUGAGUCGGGGUUCUGUGAUGAAGAAGUUACCGAGUACUCCAUUGUCCCACGCUUGAAAGCAUUCUCGGAUUGGAUUCUAAAGGCCAUGGCUUUGGGUAAUCUUGAAGACAUUUUCCCUGCAGCUAGUCGUGAAUAUGCGCCACUGGUUGAGGAACUAUGGAAAGAUCCUGCUAUUCAAGCUACAUAUAGACGAAGAAAUGAACUGCCGUUCCUUCCGUCUGCUGCCAGUUACUUCCUUGACAGGGUAGUUGAUAUUUCUCGAACGGAAUAUGAGCUCUGUGAUAUCGAUAUCCUCUAUGCUGAUGGAAUAACAUCCUCGGAUGGAUUAGCAUCUACAGAUAUCUCUUUCCCGCAGCUGGCUUUGGAUGUGCGGGUUGCUGAUGAGCUUGAUCCACAAGACACGUUGCUAAGGUACCAGCUGAUCAGAAUAAACAAUAAAGGAUUGCGGGAGAACAGCAAAUGGCUGCAGAUGUUCGAUGAUGUCAGCCUUGUCAUCUUCUGUGUUGCGGUUAGCGAUUAUGACGAGUACUACGAGGAUGCAAAUGGCACCGUUGUCAACAAGAUGAUAGAGAGCAAACAGUUAUUUGAGAGCAUUGCUCUUCAUCCAACGUUCGAGCAGAUGAAUUUUCUCCUACUCCUGACCAAGUUUGAUCUUCUAGAGCAGAAGAUUGGUAAAUCCCCGCUAACCGCAUGCGACUGGUUUGCUGAAUUCACCCCGUUGGUAAGUCGCAAUCUGAUUGACGGAACCAGCAGAAGCAAGCGCGGCAGCCACAAUGGCGCGUCGCUGGCGCAGAUGGCCGCGCACUACAUCGGCGUGAAAUUCAAGAGGCUGUUCCACUCGCUCACAGAGCGGAAGCUCUAUGUAUCCUACGUGAACGCCCUGGACCAGCAGUCUGUCUGCUCGGCGAUCCGCUACGGCCGGGAGAUCGUCAAGUGGGAGGAGGAGAAGCCUGUUUUCGGCUCCAGCGAGACGGUAUACAGCGGCGACGAGCCGAGCUCCUACUCCCACUGA